GACGAACGCUGGCGGCGUGCUUAACACAUGCAAGUCGAACGGAAAGGCCCUGCUUUUGUGGGGUGCUCGAGUGGCGAACGGGUGAGUAACACGUGAGUAACCUGCCCUUGACUUUGGGAUAACUUCAGGAAACUGGGGCUAAUACCGUAUAGGAGCUCCUGCUGCAUGGUGGGGGUUGGAAAGUUUCGGCUGUUGGGGUUGGACUCGCGGCUUAUCAGCUUGUUGGUGGGGUAGUGGCUUACCAAGGCUUUGACGGGUAGCCGGCCUGAGAGGGUGACCGGCCACAUUGGGACUGAGAUACGGCCCAGACUCCUACGGGAGGCAGCAGUGGGGAAUAUUGCACAAUGGGAGGGAGCCUGAUGCAGCAACGCCGCGUGCGGGAUGACGGCCUGCGGGUUGUAAACCGCUUUCGCCUGAGACGAAGCGUGAGUGACGGUACUGGGUAAAGAAGCGCCGGCUAACUACGUG
rnacentral:rRNA from 1 species